AGGGAACAGACCAUUAAAAGGGUAACCAUCGAGAACUACUUGAGAGCUUUGUAGGAUUAGUUUGCUGUUUCCAUGUUUGUUAUUCUUUCUGUAAGAGGUUUUACGGGUUCUGGCACAAGAACAGCUACACCCCUGAGUUUGAAGAUCUUGUUAAGAGCGCUGUGGCCAGACUCUUGGGUGGCAAUAGGACUGUUCCGGGUUGCCAACAGCGCCAACUCAGCCAGGAGGGACACUACCUUUUCUAAUUUGAGGUUAAUUUCCUCUACCAUUCUUGCUGUUAACAAACAGUGGUCCACAAGUACAGUACUUCAGCAUAAGAUGGUACACCCUCAGCUGCUUUCUUUGUUUGUUUGUUUGUUUGUUUGUUUGUUUGUUUGAAAUCUCAUUUUCUGUAAGAUUGGUGGAAGGUGACUGGGGACAAACUAGUGAUUCUAGAUGUCUCUGUUCUGCCCCUCUAGAUUAAUGGCUCAUCCAGCUUCAAAUAAAAUGGUGGUCAAAAUGGUAUUCCAUGACUGAAGGACAUUUAGGUGAGUAUCCCUUGGUUGGCCAGGGAGAAAAUCUCUGUUGUGUUCCGUCUGCAACUCAUUGUGCUAAGACUCUUUCAGGUUGCAGUGACAGAGUUGUCAGAAGAGGCCCUAUUCUGUGUCACCACAAUGAGGCUCACCUGCAGGUAGGAGAAGACUUCUUCUUUUGUUCCAGCCCUUCUCUCCUUUUGUUCCAGCUUGUCUUUCCUUCAGGUUUCUCAGAGUAUCCCUUGCAUGGCUAGGGGGAAAUCUCUAUUGUGUUCCGUCUGCAACUCAUUGGGCUAAGACUCUUUCAGCUGGGAUGACUGAGUUGUCAGAAGAGGCCCUGUUCCAUGUCAUCACGAUGAGGCUCACCUGCAGGUAGGAGAAGACUUCUUCUUUUCUUCCAGCUCUUCUUUCCUUCAGACUUCCCAGAGUUCACUGUUCUUGAAGUGAGAGUCACCAGCAUUAGGACAGUGCUGCUUUAGGUAAGUUCACAUUCUACCACUCAGUCGUCUGUUUUCAAAACAAUGUCUUUUGUAUUGGUCUCUCCUUUUCCUCAUUUUCUUUUCCGCUGGUCUCUCCACAGGUCUCCCCAAAGAGCUCUUCUUAACAUCUUAAGGUUUUCUUUUUCCUGAGAGAACAUUCACAGAAUGUUCUCUCAGGUUUUGCUUUUCCCCUUGUUGCAUUGCUCAAAAAAAAAGCAAGAGACACUGGUGGUUGGCGCUCCUGGUUCCCAGGACGGGGUUCAAAUCCCUGCGGUGUCCAUGCUUACUUCCAAUGCAACUGCUAUCUCUCUCUAUUCCUCUCUAUCCCUCUCUCUAUCCCU
rnacentral:lncRNA from 1 species